AUUUAUCUGAAGAGUCUCAAUUAGGACGAAACGUGUGUCUUAAAU
rnacentral:hammerhead_ribozyme from 1 species